GACGAACGCUGGCGGCGUGCUUAACACAUGCAAGUCGAACGGAAAGGCCCUGCUUUUGUGGGGUGCUCGAGUGGCGAACGGGUGAGUAACACGUGAGUAACCUGCCCUUGACUUUGGGAUAACUUCAGGAAACUGGGGCUAAUACCGGAUAGGAGCUCCUGCUGCAUGGUGGGGGUUGGAAAGUUUCGGCGGUUGGGGAUGGACUCGCGGCUUAUCAGCUUGUUGGUGGGGUAGUGGCUUACCAAGGCUUUGACGGGUAGCCGGCCUGGGAGGGUGACCGGCCACAUUGGGACUGAGAUACGGCCCAGACUCCUACGGGAGGCAGCAGUGGGGAAUAUUACACAAUGGGCGGAAGCCUGAUGCAGCAACGCCGCGUGCGGGAUGACGGCCUUCGGGUUGUAAACCGCUUUCGCCUGUGACGAAGCGUGAGUGACGGUAAUGGGUAAAGAAGCACCGGCUAAUUACGUG
rnacentral:rRNA from 1 species